rnacentral:rRNA from 1 species
AGAGCGAACGCUGGCGGCAGGCCUAAUACAUGCAAGUCGAACGAGCCCUUCGGGGCUAGUGGCGGACGGGUGAGUAACACGUGGGAACGUGCCUUUUGGUUCGGAACAACUCAGGGAAACUUGAGCUAAUACCGAAUGUGCCCUUCGGGGGAAAGAUUUAUCGCCAUUAGAGCGGCCCGCGUCUGAUUAGCUAGUUGGUGAGGUAAAGGCCCACCAAGGCUACGAUCAGUAGCUGGUCUGAGAGGAUGAUCAGCCACACUGGGACUGAGACACGGCCCAGACUCCUACGGGAGGCAGCAGUAGGGAAUCUUGCGCAAUGGGCGAAAGCCUGACGCAGCCAUGCCGCGUGAAUGAUGAAGGUCCUAGGAUUGUAAAAUUCUUUCAGCGGGGACGAUAAUGACGGUACCCGCAGAAGAAGCCCCGGCUAACUUCGUGCCAGCAGCCGC